UACGUAGGGGGCGAGCGUUGUCCGGAUUUAUUGGGCGUAAAGAGCGUGUAGGCGGCCAGGUAGGUCUGCUGUGAAAACUCGAGGCUCAACCUCGAGACGUCGGCGGAAACCAUCUGGCUAGAGUCCGGAAGAGGAGAGUGGAAUUCCUGGUGUAGCGGUGAAAUGCGCAGAUAUCAGGAAGAACACCCGUAGCGAAGGCGGCACUCUGGGCCGGAACUGACGCUGAGGAGCGAAAGCGUGGGGAGCAAACAGG
rnacentral:rRNA from 1 species